GGUUGUGGCUCAGUGGUAGAGCGCUCCCCUAGCAUGUAUGAGGCUCUGGGUUCAAACCUCUGCACCA
rnacentral:tRNA from 1 species